UUUCAAUUUCCUUCGAAGCUAUUGUAGUCUCCUUCUCUUCAUCUCCAAGUACAAGUAUCAUGUCUUGGUAUAGAUUUAUGGAAAACACUGAAAGAUUCUACCACAUCGCCUUGUCUCAGAGUUUUCUGGCCCACUAGAUCAUGCUCAGCACCAGAGAUUUUGAGGAAUUGGAGCAUUAUGAUUCAAUGAAGAUUAAAAUUAAGGGUCAGAUCUAUUAUAUUUCUCGGAGAAGGUGGAUGACAUUUCCAUUUCCAUUUGACCAAGAUUUCUUAUGCGACUCUCACUCCUCAUCAAAGAACACAAACAUCCCACAAUUUUCACACAAUUUUUUUUGUGCACACUGAAGUGAAUAAUCAAUCUAAUGGGAAUUACUUCAUGAGGAGAAUCCUCAAGGAAAUGUUGUCACUGUUAAAUUUGCAGCUCAAUGGAAAGGAAAGGGCAUGGAUAUGACUAGAACUCAAUGCUAAAGUUGCAAGAAAUAUGGUCAUAUUGGUCACAAUUGUGGCAAGAAGUUUUGUAAUUAUUUUAACAAUAAGGACACAUUAUCAAAGAGUUCCCUACACGUCCUCAAAAUUGUAUUGCAAAGGCUUUCCAAGUUGGUACAACAAAUUAUCAUGUAAGCAUUUUCAACUUUGGGAAUACAAGGUAAUAAGGUAAUAUCUAAAUUUUGGCUAGUUGAUUCUGGCGCUUCCAAUCAUAUGACCAACUCAACUGAUAUAUUCAUAAACAUCUGUGAGUAUAAUGAUCCAACAAAAAUUCAUCUUGCAAAUGGUAGUAAUUUACCCAUAUUCAAGGUUGGGGAUAUUAGUGGAACUAUCAAGAAUGUUUUUGUAUCACCAAAGCUCUCCACUAGUCUUAUUUCAGUUGGCCAAUUGGUAGAUAACAAUUCUAAUGUGAACUUUUCUCAUAAUAGUUGCCUUAUGCAGGAUCCGGUGUGGGGGACGAUAAUCGCAAAGGUGCCUAAAGUUGAAGGACUGUCUCCUUUACACUUUUCUAUUCCCCGUGGUCUGGCUUUUGCUUCCACCACCGCUAAGAAUUCGGUUUGGCAUAAAAGUCUAGGACAUCCAAAUUCUAUUGUGUUAUCUCAUUUGUCCAAAUCUGGUUUAUUGGGAAAUAACAAUUAAUUUUCAGUUGCUUCCUUUGAUUGUUCUACUUGUAAAUUAGGCAAAAGUAAAACUCUUCAUUUUCCUAAUUUUGGUAGUCGUGUUGCAAUGUAUUUUGAUGUCAUUUAUAGGGAUGUUUGGGGCAUUUCACCAGUUAUUUAUCAUGCUCAUUUCAAGUACUUUUUGACAUUUAUAUGACCAUAGUCGGUUUACAUGGGUAUAUUUUCUUCAAUCUAAAUUUGAAGUGUUUUCCAUAUUCAAGAAAUUUUGGCUUAAAUUGAGACUCAAUUUUUCACAUGCAUCAAAAUAUUAAGAUCUGAUUCUGGUGGAGAAUAUAUGCCUCACGAAUUCAAUAAUUUCUUGCUUGAGAACGGAAUUGUAUCAGAACACUCUUGCCCAUAUACACCACCACAAAAUGGGGUUGCUGAGUGUAAAAACCGUCAUCUUUUGGAUGAUACUCGUAGUUUAUUGAGUCCUCUGUUCCAUCUAAAUAUUAGGUUCAAGUUGUUCUAUCUAAAUAUUAGGUUGAAGCUGUGUCUACUUCUGUCUAUUUGAUUAAUAGAUUUCUAUCUAAAGUGUUAAACCUUGAGUCUCCAUAUUAUCGUCUUUUUCACAAACAUCCUAACUAUCAUAGUUUUCAUAUAUUUGGUUGUGUUUGUUUUGUGCACCUGCCUCUUUCUCAACACAAUAACUCUCUGCCAGUCUACUAAAUGUGCUUUUAUGGGCUAUAGUACUUCGUAGAAAGGAUUAUUUUAUGAUCUAAGUUCUAUCAAAUUUCGUGUUUCUAGGAAUGUUAUGUUCUUUGAGAAUCAAUAUUUCUUUCCUACUCAUAUUGAGUCAUCUUCUAUUUGUUCGCUUCUUCUUACUUCUGAGGAUUUUUCAUUGUUUUCAAAGUGGUUCAAACCAAGAUUUGUGUAUGAACGAUGUCGUCCAACUUUACCCCAUCCUGAAACAGAUCCGCCGCCUGAGACUGCUCCAUGACCAGAAUCUGAGAUUUUUUCAAGGCCUGCUCCUCUUGAGCCUUCUCGACGAUCUACUAGAGUGUCUCAAACACCUAAAUGGUAUGUAUUUUCUUUUACUUUAACCACCAUCAUUAUUCCUACAGGUUACUCACAAGCCUCCAAGCUCGAAUAUUGGCAAAAAUCAAUGGAGGAGGAACUUUUUGCUCUUAAAGAAAAUGAAAGAUGGGACAUUGUUUCAUGUCCUUCAAAUGUCCGCCCUAUUGGAUGUUAAUGGGUUUAUUCAAUUAAACUUCAUUCUAAUAGAAGUCUUGAUCGGUAUAAAGCUCGAUUGGUUGUUCUUGGUAACAAACAAGAGUAUGGGGUGGACUAUGAGGAGACUUUUGCACCCGUAACAAAAAUGACUACGGUGCAAACUAUUAUUGUCAUUGAUGCUUCACAAAACUGAUCUCUUUAUCAAAUGGAUGUCAAAAAUUCUUUUCGCCAUGGUGAUCUCAAAGAAGACAUUUAUAUGAAACCUCCAUUUGGUUGUUCUCAUCGCCUACAUCAGAUGUACGCAAGUUGAAGCGGUCUUUGAAUGGAUUAAAACAAACUCGAAGAGCUUGGUUUGAUAAGUUAUGAUCUACUUUGCUAGAAUUUUCUUUUGAGCGGAGAAAAUAUGAUUCGUCUUUGUUUCUUUGGAAAACAUCUAUAUGUUGUGUUCUUCUUUUGGUGUAUGUAGAUGACAUUAUCAUUAGAGGAAUUGAUUCUUCACUAAUCAAUAGCCUCCUACAGAAGCUUAAAGAUUCUUUUCAUAUGAAAGAUCCUCCUACAUAUUUUUUGGGUUUGGAAGUUCAUAAUGUUGCUUCAGAUGUGUUUUUAAACCAACACAAAUAUACUAAGGAUCUGAUUUCUUUGGCUGGUCUUCAAGAUUCAUGCUCCGUAGAUACUCCAUUGGAAUUGAAUGUGAAGUAUUUUCGUGAGGAAGGCGAUCUUCUUCCUCAUCCAACUAUAUUUCGACAAUUAUAUGGAAAUCUAAAUAACCUUACUAUUACUCGACCGAAUAUCUCUUUUGCAGUGCAACAAGUUAGUCAAUUUAUGCAAGCUCCCCGUCAUCUCCACUUUGUGCCUGUUCAUCGCAUCAUUCAGUAUCUUCUAGGAACAUCUACUCGUGGAUUCUUCUUUCCAAGUUCUCCUAUUCGUCUUAAUGCUUUUAGUGAUUCUGGAUGGGCAGGAUGUCCUGAUACUCGUCGUUUAGUCACUGGUUGAUGCAUGUUUCUUGGAGAGUCAUUGAUAUCUUAGAAGAGUAAAAAGCAAGAUCGUGUAUCAAUAUCUUCAACAUAGAUUGAAUAUUUAACCAUGUAUACUGAUUGCUCUGAGGUUGUAUCGCUUCGUGGAUUACUUGCUGAGAUUUGAUUUCCUUAAUCUCAUCCUACUCCUCUCCAUGCUGAUGAUACAAGUGCUAUUCAGAUUGCUACUAAUCCAUUUUUUCACGAGAGGACCAAACACAUCGAAAUGAGAAGAUGCAGAUAAAGGAGUCCUUACUCUUCCACAUGUGUCUAAUGAUCUUCAAAUAGCUGAUGCGUUUACAAAAUCCAUGGCACGACAACACCAUCAAUUUCUAGUAGGAAAAUUGAUGCUUCUUCAUCCACCAACAUCAAUUUCAGGGGGGAUGUUAGUAUGAUGGACAUCUAAACAAUUGUAUAUAUUAAUGUAAUUAUAUAGUGAUAUAAAUUAGCAUGAUCACAUAGAUUUUUUGUAGAAUCAGAGGAAUAAAUAUUGUGAUAGAUUAACUGAUUUGGAGGGAUAGCAAAGC